rnacentral:rRNA from 1 species
GACAAACGCUGGCGGCGUGCUUAACACAUGCAAGUCGAACGAAGUGGCGAACGGGUGAGUAACGCGUAAUCAACCUGCCCUUCAGAGGGGGACAACAGUUGGAAACGACUGCUAAUACCGCAUACUGAAGGAGGGGCUUGCGUCUGAUUAGCUCGUUGGCGGGGUAACGGCCCACCAAGGCGAUGAUCAGUAGCCGGUCUGGGGGGAUGAACGGCCACAAGUGGACUGGGGCACGGGCCAGACUCCUACGGGAGGGAGCAGGGGGGAAUCUGCCGAAAUGGACGAAAGUCUGACGGCGCAAAGCCGGGGGAGUGAUGACGGCCUUCGGGUUGUAAAGCUCUGUUAAUCGGGACGCGGUACCGGAAUAGAAAGCAACGGCUAACUACGUGCCAGCAGCCGCGGUAAUAC